UCAUCAGUGGGGGGAGACGAAUAUAUGCUUCUCUCUUAAUCUUCUUUAGGAUCUAUGCACGAGGAGCAGAGAGAGAAGUGUAGGAGUCAUAUCUGUAACUGAAGUUAUUCGAUUUUGAACUCCAUCAUGGAGCGAGGUUCCUUUAUUAGCCGAUACCCAACUUGGUCCAACCAAAGCCUUGUUCUUCUGCUUCUUUUUCUUCUGACCUUUUCCUUUUGAUUGGCACCAGCUAGUAGUACCCUCAUCCGUACGGAUAUAUUUAUACGUGCGC
rnacentral:lncRNA from 1 species